UCGCUCGAGAGUUAGUCGAUCCUAAGCUGCCGGCGGCAGCCACGAAACGGUCGAUCGGGGCGCGAAGCCCGGCAGCCACGACGGGCAGCGAAAGGGAAUUGGGAACCUCCUUCCCAAACCCGGAACCGGAACGAGGGCGGCGACGCGAACGAAACGGCCGCGGAGACGGCGGCCGCGGCCCCGGAGAGAGUUCUCUUUUCUGUGCGACUGGACGUCGGCCCCGGAAUCGCGUCGAGCGGAGGGGGGGUCGGAGUUCAGGAAUAGCACCCCGGCCUUUCGGGGGUGUCCGGGCGGCCGCGGUCGUCCCAUGAAAAUCCGCGGAUGAACGAGUAGGCGACGGUCCGGGUCGUACCAAUGACCGCAUCGGGUCUCCAAGGUUGAAAAGCCUCUGGCUAACGGGAC
rnacentral:rRNA from 1 species